GGGCGUUAAGUUGCAGGGUAUAGACCCGAAACCCGGUGAUCUAGCCAUGGGCAGGUUGAAGGUUGGGUAACACUAACUGGAGGACCGAACCGACUAAUGUUGAAAAAUUAGCGGAUGACCUGUGGCUGGGGGUGAAAGGCCAAUCAAACCGGGAGAUAGCUGGUUCUCCCCGAAAGCUAUUUAGGUAGCGCCUCGUGAAUUCAUCUCCGGGGGUAGAGCACUGUUUCGGCUAGGGGGCCAUCCCGGCUUACCAACCCGAUGCAAACUGCGAAUACCGGAGAAUGUUAUCACGGGAGACACACGGCGGGUGCUAACGUCCGUCGUGAAGAGGGAAACAACCCAGACCGCCAGCUAAGGUCCCAAAGUCAUGGUUAAGUGGGAAACGAUGUGGGAAGGCCCAGACAGCCAGGAUGUUGGCUUAGAAGCAGCCAUCAUUUAAAGAAAGCGUAAUAGCUCACUGGUCGAGUCGGCCUGCGCGGAAGAUGUAACGGGGCUAAACCAUGCACCGAAGCUGCGGCAGCGACGCUGAUGCGUUGUUGGGUAGGGGAGCGUUCUGUAAGCCUGCGAAGGUGGCCUGUGAGGGUUGCUGGAGGUAUCAGAAGUGCGAAUGCUGACAUAAGUAACGAUAAAGCGGGUGAAAAGCCCGCUCGCCGGAAGACCAAGGGUUCCUGUCCAACGUUAAUCGGGGCAGGGUGAGUCGACCCCUAAGGCGAGGCCGAAAGGCGUAGUCGAUGGGAAACGGGUUAAUAUUCCCGUACUUGGUGUUACUGCGAAGGGGGGACGGAGAAGGCUAUGUUGGCCGGGCGACGGUUGUCCCGGUUUAAGCGUGUAGG
rnacentral:rRNA from 3 species